CCUACGGGAGGCAGCAGUGAGGAAUAUUGGUCAAUGGGCUUACGCCUGAACCAGCCAAGUCGCGUGAGGGAAGACUGCCCUAUGGGUUGUAAACCUCUUUUGUCAGGGAGCAACGCCGGCUACGUGUAGCCGGACUGAGAGUACCCGAAGAAAAAGCAUCGGCUAACUCCGUGCCAGCAGCCGCGGUCAUACGGAGGAUGCGAGCGUUAUCCGGUUUUAUGGGGUUAAAAGGGUGCGUAGGCGGAAUGCCAAGUCAGCGGUAAAAUCGAGGGGCUCAACCUCGCUCUGCCGUUGAAACUGGCGUUCUGGAGUGGGCGAGAGGUAUGCGGAAUGCGUGGUGUAGCGGUGAAAUGCGUAGAUAUCACGCAGAACUCCGAUUGCGAAGGCAGCAUACCGGCGCCCAACUGACGCUGAAGCACGAAAGCGUGGGUAUCGAACAGGAUUAGAUACCCUAGUAGUC
rnacentral:rRNA from 1 species